AAUGCUACGGUGAAUACGUUCCCGGGCCUUGUACACACCGCCCGUCACACCAUGGGAGUGGGUUGCAAAAGAAGUAGGUAGCUUAACCGCAAGGAGGGCGCUUACCACUUUGUGAUUCAUGACUGGGGUGAAGUCGUAACAAGGUAACCGUAGGGGAACCUGCGGUUGGAUCACCUCCUUAACUAUAAACUCUCACUAUCAGUGUCCACUCACAUUAUCUGAUAAAUCAUGAAAAAAGACGCUGUCCCCUUCGUCUAGAGGCCUAGGACACCGCCCUUUCACGGCGGUAACAGGGGUUCGAACCCCCUAGGGGACGCCACAGAGAUGUGUUCAAAACUAUCUUAAAAACAGCUUCAGUGUUUUUCAAGAAAUUGCUCUUUAAAAAUAAGGGAUAAGCAAGAGAUUGUAAGUCAGAAACAAUUUCGGGUUGNAAGGUUAAGUAAUGAAGCGUACAGGGAGGAUGCCUAGGCAGUCAGAGGCGAUGAAGGA
rnacentral:misc_RNA from 1 species